rnacentral:rRNA from 1 species
UACGUAGGUGGCAAGCGUUGUCCGGAAUUAUUGGGCGUAAAGCGCGCGCAGGCGGCCUCUUAAGUCUGAUGUGAAAGCCCCCGGCUCAACCGGGGAGGGCCAUUGGAAACUGGGAGGCUUGAGUAUAGGAGAGAAGAGUGGAAUUCCACGUGUAGCGGUGAAAUGCGUAGAGAUGUGGGAGGAACACCAGUGGCGAAGGCGACUCUUUGGCCUAUAACUGACGCUGAGGCGCGAAAGCGUGGGGAGCAAACAGG